UAUGAGAGUUUGAUCCUGGCUCAGGAUGAACGCUGGCGGCGUGCCUAAUACAUGCAAGUCGAACGCUAAUCGUUAAACUGAAACUUCGGUGGAUUUUUAACAAUGGUUAGAGUGGCGAACGGGUGAGUAACACGUGGAUAACCUGCCUUUUAGCGGGGGAUAACUUUUGGAAACAGAAGCUAAUACCGCAUAACAAUGUCUUUUGCAUGAAAGAUAUUUGAAAGGAGCGUAUGCUCCACUAAAAGAUGGAUCCGCGGCGCAUUAGCUAGUUGGUGGGGUAAAGGCCUACCAAGGCGAUGAUGCGUAGCCGAGUUGAGAGACUGAUCGGCCACAUUGGGACUGAGACACGGCCCAAACUCCUACGGGAGGCUGCAGUAGGGAAUCUUCCACAAUGGACGCAAGUCUGAUGGAGCAACGCCGCGUGUGUGAUGAAGGCUUUCGGGUCGUAAAACACUGUUGUAUAGGAAGAACAGCUAAGAGAGGAAAUGCUUUUAGCCUGACGGUACUAUACCAGAAAGGGACGGCUAAAUACGUGCCAGCAGCCGCGGUAAUACGUAUGUCCCGAGCGUUAUCCGGAUUUAUUGGGCGUAAAGCGAGCGCAGACGGUUAGAUAAGUCUGAAGUGAAAGCCAACAGCUCAACUGUUGAAGGGCUUUGGAAACUGUUUAACUUGAGUGCAGUAGAGGCAAGUGGAACUCCAUGUGUAGCGGUGGAAUGCGUAGAUAUAUGGAAGAACACCAGUGGCGAAGGCGGCUUGCUGGGCUGUAACUGACGUUGAGGCUCGAAAGCGUGGGUAGCAAACAGGAUUAGAUACCCUGGUAGUCCACGCUGUAAACGAUGACAACUAGGUGUUGGGACCUUUCCGGGUUUCAGUGCCGGCGCUAACGCAAUAAGUUGUCCGCCUGGGGAGUACGACCGCAAGGUUGAAACUCAAAGGAAUUGACGGGGACCCGCACAAGCGGUGGAGCAUGUGGUUUAAUUCGAAGCAACGCGAAGAACCUUACCAGGUCUUGACAUCCCUUGAAGAUAUCAGAAAUGAUAUUGUUUUCUUCGGAAACAAGGUGACAGGUGGUGCAUGGUCGUCGUCAGCUCGUGUCGUGAGAUGUUGGGUUAAGUCCCGCAACGAGCGCAACCCUUAUGUUUAGUUGCCAGUAUUAAGUUAGGCACUCUAGACAGACUGCCGGUGACAAACCGGAGGAAGGUGGGGAUGACGUCAGAUCAUCAUGCCCCUUAUGACCUGGGCUACACACGUGCUACAAUGGCGCAAACAGCGAGCAGCGAACCGGUGACGGCAAGCGAAUCUCUAAAAAUGCGUCUCAGUUCGGAUUGUAGUCUGCAACUCGACUACAUGAAGUCGGAAUCGCUAGUAAUCGCGGAUCAGCACGCCGCGGUGAAUACGUUCCCGGGUCUUGUACACACCGCCCGUCACACCAUGAGAGUUUGCAACACCCAAAGCCGGUGGUCUAACCGCAAGGAGGAAGCCGUCUAAGGUGGGGCAGAUGAUUAGGGUGAAGUCGUAACAAGGUAGCCGUAGGAGAACCUGCGGCUGGAUCACCUCCUUU
rnacentral:rRNA from 1 species